rnacentral:rRNA from 1 species
UACGGAGGGUGCAAGCGUUGUUCGGAUUUAUUGGGCGUAAAGGGCGUGUAGGCGGUCUCGUAAGUCUGAUGUGAAAGCCCCGGGCUCAACCCGGGAAGUGCAUUGGAAACUGUGAGACUUGAGUACGGGAGAGGGCAGUGGAAUUCCUAGUGUAGGAGUGAAAUCCGUAGAUAUUAGGAGGAACACCGGUGGCGGAGGCGGCUGCCUGGACCGAUACUGACGCUGAGACGCGAAAGCGUGGGGAGCAAACAGG